ACGCCCCUCGCGUCGCGGUCAGUAUGGAACAAAGAUCAAGAACACCCUCAAAGAAGAAGACAAGAGAACGACGACGUCCACGACGUCG
rnacentral:ribozyme from 1 species